AGAGUUGAUCAUGGCGUCAGGAUGAACGCUAGCGACAGGCUAACACAUGCAAGUCGAGGGGCAGCAUAAAAGUAGCAAUACGUUGGUGGCGACCGGCGCACGGGUGAGUAACGCGUAUGCAACCUACCUAUCGAGAGGGGAAUAACCCGGCGAAAGUCGGACUAAUACCGCAUAAAACAGGGGGCACCGCAUGGUGAUAUUUGUUAAAGAAAUUCGCUGAUAGAUGGGCAUGCGUUCCAUUAGGUAGUUGGUGAGGUAACGGCUCACCAAGCCGACGAUGGAUAGGGGAACUGAGAGGUUGGUCCCCCACACUGGUACUGAGACACGGACCAGACUCCUACGGGAGGCAGCAGUGAGGAAUAUUGGUCAAGUGGGCGGGAGCCUGAACCAGCCAAGUCGCGUUAGAAGGAAGAAGGAUCUAUGGUUCGUAAACUUCUUUGCAGGGGAAUAAAGUGCAGGACGUGUCCUGUUUUGUAUGUACCCUGAGAAUAAGGAUCGGCUAACUCCGUGCCAGCCGCCGC
rnacentral:rRNA from 1 species